UGUGCAAGUGAUUAUGAAACAGGCAGGGACAUUAGAACUCUAUUCUGAGAUAUGAUGAUUUGUCAAUUAAUGGGAAUCUCUCUGAUGCAUA